UGAGGUGAUAUGAGAAUCUGCCUUUUGCAG
rnacentral:piRNA from 1 species